GAUGAACGCUGGCGGCGUGCCUAAUACAUGCAAGUCGAGCGAACAGACGAGGAGCUUGCUCCUCUGACGUUAGCGGCUGACGGGUGAGUAACACGUGGAUAACCUACCUAUAAGACUGGGAUAACUUCGGGAAACCGGAGCUAAUACCGGAUAAUAUAUUGAACCGCAUGGUUCAAUAGUGAAAGACGGUUUUGCUGUCACUUUUAGAUGGAUCCGCGCCGCAUUAGCUAGUUGGUAAGGUAACGGCUUACCAAGGCAACGAUGCGUAGCCGACCUGAGAGGGUGAUCGGCCACACUGGAACUGAGACACGGUCCAGACUCCUACGGGAGGCAGCAGUAGGGAAUCUUCCGCAAUGGGCGAAAGCCUGACGGAGCAACGCCGCGUGAGUGAUGAAGGUCUUCGGAUCGUAAAGCUCUGUUAUUAGGGAAGAACAACUGUGUAAGUAACUAUGCACGUCUUGACGGUACCUAAUCAGAAAGCCACGGCUAACUACGUG
rnacentral:rRNA from 1 species